CACGUAGGGCGCAAGCGUUGUCCGGAAUUAUUGGGCGUAAAGAGCUCGUAGGCGGUCUGUUGCGUCCGCUGUGAAAACUCGGGGCUUAACCCCGAGCCUGCAGUGGAUACGGGCAGACUAGAGGUAGGUAGGGGAGAAUGGAAUUCCCGGUGUAGCGGUGAAAUGCGCAGAUAUCGGGAGGAACACCGGUGGCGAAGGCGGGUCUCUGGGCAAUUCCUGACGCUGAGGCGCGAAAGCGUGGGGAGCAAACGGG
rnacentral:rRNA from 1 species